rnacentral:rRNA from 1 species
GAUGAACGCUGGCGGCGUGCCUAAUACAUGCAAGUCGAGCGAACGGACGAGAAGCUUGCUUCUCUGAUGUUAGCGGCGGACGGGUGAGUAACACGUGGAUAACCUACCUAUAAGACUGUGAUAACUUCGGGAAACCGGAGCUAAUACCGGAUAAUAUUUUGAACCGCAUGGUUCAAAAGUGAAAGACGGUCUUGCUGUCACUUAUAGAUGGAUCCGCGCUGCAUUAGCUAGUUGGUAAGGUAACGGCUUACCAAGGCAACGAUGCAUAGCCGACCUGAGAGGGUGAUAGGCCACACUGGAACUGAGACACGGUCCAGACUCCUACGGGAGGCAGCAGUAGGGAAUCUUCCGCAAUGGGCGAAAGCCUGACGGAGCAACGCCGCGUGAGUGAUGAAGGUCUUCGGAUCGUAAAACUCUGUUAUUAGGGAAGAACAUAUGUGUAAGUAACUGUGCACAUCUUGACGGUACCUAAUCAGAAAGCCACGGCUAACUACGUG